rnacentral:ncRNA from 1 species
AGAUAGAGGUUGCGUGAUUCAACAGUAGCUUUUCUGAUGUGGCAGGCACAAGAGAGGAAAAGGGAAAGGGGAGAGCGCCGAAAGAGGAGAGAGCCUGUGGCUCGACUCUUGGGCAUGCGGUUAAGAACCGUAUGACUGUCAUCUAGUUGAGGAUGGGGCGCUAUCGGU